CUUGUACGGGUUAGUUCCAUUAUAGAAUUAUAUAUGAUAAUAGACAUGAAUACAAUAUACCAUACAGUAGCAGUUUUAGGCACGGGCAGACAGGGCAGUUGCCCGGGGCGGCAUUUUUUCAUGACACAAAAGGGGCGCACAAGCGCUGAGUAAAAAAAAAAAAAAAAAAAGGAAAUCUGCGCCGCACCGAGGUUUUCUAUUAUCUGUCUUAUGACAGUGUCUGGAUUGGAAACAGCAAGUUGGCGCCCCCUGCAGCUGCAGGCGCUGCUGCUGACUGAGAACGUUCACGUGCACCGUGUGUCUAUGAAGAACAGGAAGGGGAGGGGUGCGGCGGGGGAAUUCACCUCUGCGUCUUUCCCAAAUGAAAUGAGCGUGCAGGGGCUGAAUCAACUGUAUUAACAUGGCUAAAGUCAAUCACAUCUUAACGUUCUUCCAUUUUUCAUUCAUAAUAUCAUAAACACAGGCCUAUCAUUCUUUCAGGUUUCUCUGAAUUGUGUGAAAUGGCCGAAUAAAAAAAGGAAAAACAAAACGAUUUUGUGGUCACCCCCCCAUCAAGGUCAAAUUGUUUAGUCCUGACUAAAGGAAACUUACUGAGUCAGGUCAGGAGCCAAACAGAAGAGAUGAACAUAAAAAGGCUAAAACCACCAGUUGCCCCAUUCAGGGGGGAAAAAAAGAAAAAAGAGGAGAAAGAUAAAGGCUGACCACGACCACAGGUGCGCAGACAUUUAAACGUCACGCACAGAGAACAUCAUGGAGGUAAGAGACCAAUCAUGAACAUCUGAGCAUUGUUCCAGACUUGGACACCAUGAUCAUCAGCUCGCCAUCAUCCGCUGAGGAGAGCCUGUCUGUGGGUCACAGCCCAGCAGCAGAACCAGAACCGGUGAAAUGUUCCUACUUUCAGGUCGGCAUUUAAGGGGGGCCUAAAGCAACACUUGCACCGAGAGCCCAGCUCAGCCUUGCUCCGCCACUGGCUAGAGCCGAUACUCCGGACGGAUGAAUCCCUGUCGUGUCUUACAGAUGUUGGAUGUUAGUGUCAGUCAACACAAGUACCAAUGAAAAAAGGUUUAUGAGACAGAAACAAGACCGCCUCCUGGCCUGAUGAAGACAUUGGUUCCUGAUUGAUGAGACGAUGAAAAAGACUUGUACUCAGACAGUCCUCUGCUAUGAAGUCAGACCCAGAACCAGCAGGAACACUGAAGGUUCUGUGACCCAGCCCAUGUGCAGCUCAUUCCCUGUUCUGGAUCUCUUUGCUCUUGUUUCAGAGUCACACACAAGGAACAGUCUUUUAGUGUCCCUUUGGUACCAGUUGUCCCCAUCUCCUAGUGUCCCAGUGUCUGGCAGACAGCCAGUGUCAGGGUUCUGGUAGAAAAGACCGUUUCACAGCAUUACUGGAUCAGCUGUUUGUU